AUGCCUGGUGGUAUUCAGGGCCCCAGGGUCUCCCUAUAUGCGGACGACGCUGCCAUUUUUCUAUCCCCCACGACACAUGAUGUGGAAGGCCUUGCUUCCAUUCUACAGAGUUUUGGGGUAGUCUCCGGCCUCGUGACAAAUGUGACCAAGAGCUCCAUCGCCCCCAUCCAAUGCGCCAACAUUAACUUGGAGGAGAUUCUGGCGAACUUCCCAGCGACUACAACCCCCUUCCCCAUUAAGUAUCUGGGGUUGCCCCUCUCCCUCGGAAGACUUAGGCGUGUGGACCUUCAACCCUACAUCGACAAAGCGGUGGCUCGUCUUAGCCCGUGGAAAGGAAAGUUCCUGAACCGUGCCGGG
rnacentral:rRNA from 1 species